AGCGUCUUUUCCCAGCGUUGAUUUUCCUCUUGCUCAAGGCUAUGGCUUUGUAGAAAGGGCUGAGCGCCUUGGGGUAUGGAGCCGGGCUGCUCCUGUUUGAGUAGGGUUCACUUCCCUCUUUGUAAGGGUUUCCUUUCCAUUGCUUUCGCCUUAGUUAGGCGUCACCUGUUGUGCUGAUAAAUGCUGCCUUGAACUGACCCCCAAGCUCAUCUUUGCUUUCAAGAGACGGCCUGGACAAAGAUGACACUUAACUUCAAGCGUUCGCCAAAGACUUUGGUCCCAGGACAAGAGCCCAUGUUGCUGACUGACUCCUAAUGAGAUAGACUCCCAUAAACAACCAUCCACGGCUGUUUCCAGCGAGACCUGGGAUGGUUUGGAAUGACAAAACCCGGAAAUCCUGGUCUCGCGGAAAACUCUCGCCCCUCCACACUUGGCAAACAUGGCGGCAGCCAGCAUGCUGACUGUACACCAUCACCGUACAGGAAGCUGCCCCUAGCUCUGGGACUCUAUCGGCCAGAAGGCUAGAGCUGCGGAAGCAGGAAGUCUGCCCACCUUCUUUCCUGCAUGGAGAGGUGUCUUUGGAGUCAGUCAUUGAAGAUAGCAAAAACGGAGGUGGGGCGUGGAUUUCUGAAGCUGGGAAAACCUGUGUCGGCUGUUGUGAGGAUGGAAGAGUGAAAAGCAUUUUGAAAAUAUAGCGUAAAUGUCACACAUCACAAUAGAAAAAUGUGCUCCCAGCAAGAGACGGAACUUCCUCCAUGAGCUAGAUUAACCCAGCCCCGUACAUCUUGGGAAAAGGACGCUGGUUCAUUACCAUUCAAACUGUACCCCAAACUUCUGGAGACGCCAUCACACAGGGGCUGUGAAUGUCAGGGAUUUGCCCACUUCUCAAGGGAACAACA